rnacentral:rRNA from 1 species
UACAGAGGUCUCGAGCGUUAGGCGGAAUCACUGGGCUUAAAGGGCGCGUAGGCGGGCAAGCAAGUCCGGGGUGAAAUCUUUCGGCUCAACCGGAAAAGUGCCUUGGAUACUGCUUGUCUGGAGGGAGGUAGGGGCCCGUGGAACUUCCGGUGGAGCGGUGAAAUGCGUUGAUAUCGGAAGGAACGCCGGUGGCGAAAGCGACGGGCUGGAUCUCUACUGACGCUGAGGCGCGAAAGCCAGGGGAGCAAACGGG